rnacentral:rRNA from 1 species
GAUGAACGCUGGCGGCGUGCCUAAUACAUGCAAGUCGAGCGAACAGACGAGGAGCUUGCUCCUUUGACGUUAGCGGCGGACGGGUGAGUAACACGUGGAUAACCUACCUAUAAGACUGGGAUAACUUCGGGAAACCGGAGCUAAUACCGGAUAACAUGUUGAACCGCAUGGUUCAACAGUGAAAGACGGUCUUGCUGUCACUUAUAGAUGGAUCCGCGCCGCAUUAGCUAGUUGGUAAGGUAACGGCUUACCAAGGCAACGAUGCGUAGCCGACCUGAGAGGGUGAUCGGCCACACUGGAACUGAGACACGGUCCAGACUCCUACGGGAGGCAGCAGUAGGGAAUCUUCCGCAAUGGGCGAAAGCCUGACGGAGCAACGCCGCGUGAGUGAAGAAGGUCUUCGGAUCGUAAAACUCUGUUAUUAGGGAUGAACAAAUGUGUAAGUAACUAUGCACGUCUUGACGGUACCUAAUCAGAAAGCCACGGCUAACUACGUG